rnacentral:rRNA from 1 species
UACAGGGGGGGCAAGCGUUGUUCGGAUUUACUGGGCGUGAAGAGCGUGUAGGCGGCCAAGCAGGUCCGUUGUGAAAACUGGAGGCUUAACCUCCAGACGUCGACGGAAACCGCGUGGCUAGAGUCCGGAAGAGGAGAGUGGAAUUCCUGGUGUAGCGGUGAAAUGCGCAGAUAUCAGGAAGAACACCAAUGGCGAAGGCGGCACGCUGGACCUCUUCUGACGCUGAGGCGCGAAAGCCAGGGGAGCAAACGGG